CCAACUCACGCAGUUUGAAACCUUUUUGAGUCGCUUAGAUGGUUGUGAUGGGCUAAGUGAGCUUCUAAAAACGGAGUUAGGGAUACGUAUGAAGAAAAUCGAGUUGCUACAAAGUGAUUUUGAUAAAUUACAGUGUGAAAUCGAGUUGCUGUCGGACAACGUGGACGAGGCUUAUGCGGACCGCGAUCAGUUCGAGUCCAAGUUGUUCCGCCUGCUGUCCGUGGCUCACGGGCUGCUCGCGGCGGCGGCGCGCUACCCGGCGGCCGGGGGUCCCGGGGGAGACGGGACGAGCGACGCUGCCGAGGAAUGCCGUGGAGGAGGUUUCGUCAGGCUGCCCAAAAUUGACCUUCCUCACUUCGAUGGCGAUUAUCAGCACUGGCUUUCAUUCAGAGAUACGUAUAUUUCACUUAUACACGACAACACCAGCAUUAAUAACGUAAAUAAAUUUCAUUAUUUACGUGCUGCACUUACAGGCAGCGCGUCUUUGAUCAUUCAAAGCUUGGAUCUAACCUCUGAAAAUUAUUCUAUUGCUUGGCAAUUACUUUCUGAUAGGUACGACAAUCCGAGAUUGCUUAUCAACAAUCACAUUAGUGCCUUAUUUUCUGUGGACCCCAUUCAAAGGGAGUCUAGCUCAGCAUUACGUAACAUUGUUGACGUAACUAACAAAAACUUACGUGCCCUCGCGUCUUUAGGCGAACCAACCGAUCAUUGGGACAGUUUAAUUGUUUUUCUUAUGUCCAAAAAGCUAGACUCGUCCUCUUACAGACAAUGGGAAGAACAUAGAAACAAUCUUGAUUCUUCGCCCACAUUACAGCAAUUUAUUAAAUUCUUAAUUAACAGAGCGGAUCUCUUAGAAACCUUAACUGAUACAUUUAAAUAUAAACAAAAUAACAAACCUAAUAAUAACAAUGAAGCAUUCAAAACAAAAAACUUUUUAGUGUCCACUGAUAACACUAGAGCCUAUUCAUGCCCAAUGUGCUCACAAUCUCACGGCUUAUUUAAUUGCCCAUCAUUCAAAGCUUUGGACAUUGAUUCACGCAUUAAAAAAGCAAAAGAAAGUCGUGUUUGCAUGAAUUGUUUACGAUUAGGUCAUGUAGAAAACGCUUGUACGUUGACACAUUGUAAGUACUGUAAGUACAGACACAACACAUUGUUACAUAAAGACGUAAACAAAAACACAUACACCAACAAAUCUGCUUCAGUACCUACAACCAGUGGUUUAGCGAACAAUGUAGCCCUUUCGUCGGACAUUUCACCAAGUACAUUAAAUAACCAUGGCUCUGUACUGCUUUCCACAGCGCUCGUGAAGGUGGCAGACAAGCACGGGAGCCUGCACACAGCGCGGCUGCUCCUCGAUAACGGCAGCACUUCUAAUUUCGUCACCCAGUCCCUCUGCGAGAAACUUGAUCUGAAGAGUGAAGGCGGUGCACAUCGAGCUCGUCUCGUCUCUCACGAAGGAGGCAUACCUGGCUGCGUUAAAUCGCUUCAUGGCUCGCCGGGGAAGGCCCCAGACCAUUUAUUCGGACCACGGUUCCAACUUUAUUGGUGGUUUUAACGAGCUCUCAGAUCUUUUUAGAAACUCACUUAGCGACAUUCCAACCAUUCUAUCACAUGACGAAAUUGAUUUUAAAUUUAUUCCUCCAUAUAGCCCCCAUUUCGGCGGAAUUUGGGAGGCGGCUGUCAAAUCUGUCAAACACCACUUGCGGCGUGUUCUUGCCCUAGCUCAUCUCACUUAUGAAGAAAUGAUCACUUGCCUGAAUCAGAUAGAGGCCAUUUUAAAUUCACGUCCCUUAACACCUCUAUCUUCUGAUCCUUCCGAUCUUUCAUUUCUUUCCCCCUCCCACUUCCUCAUUGGACGACCGCUCACGUCGGUUCCUUAUCCUCAGGUGUCGGACUGCAACGUGCAUCGCCUGGACCGCUUCCAACGCAUCGAAUUCCUGCGGCAGCACUUCUGGAAGCGAUACUGCGCAGAGUACGUGACCUUGCUCCAGCAGAAGACGAAGUGGCUCACGUCGACGGGACACCUACAAGUCGGAUCCCUUGUCUUGGUCAAGGACAAGACGCAACCCCCCUUGAUGUGGCUCAUGGGACGGAUCGUCCAGCUACAUCCCGGCAAAGACGGAGUCAGCAGAGUGGCAGACAUAGAGACCAAACGAGGCAUAAUUCAACGGGCCUACAACAAUAUCUGUCCUCUACCUUUGGACUGUUGAAUACCUCAACGGCGGGGAGCUUGUUGCGGCUACUGAAGCUGGCAACAUCGGUGCAAGAGGAGGAGUGCGGGGAGCGGCGACACUACGUAUAAAUGCGUCAUCUUCGGUUGUCCGGACCCUCUUACCCUCUUACCUUUCGGACGCACGAUCUUUUCAUACAUACAUAUUUGUCAUACAACCAUUGUAAACCAGACAUUAAAUUAUUCAUACCAUAAAA